AACGAACGCUGGCGGCAUGCCUAACACAUGCAAGUCGAACGAGACCUUCGGGUCUAGUGGCGCACGGGUGCGUAACGCGUGGGAACCUGCCCUUAGGUUCGGUAUACCUCCCCGAGAGGGAUCCUAAUACCACUUAAUGUCUUCGGACCAAGGAUUUAUCGCCUUUGGAUGGGCCCGCGUUGGAUUAGCUAGUUGGUAGGGUAAAAGCCUACCAACGCGACGAUCCAUAGCUGGUCUGAGAGGAUGAUCAGCCACACUGGGACUGAGACACGGCCCAGACUCCUACGGGAGGCAGCAGUGGGGAAUAUUGGACAAUGGGCGAAAGCCUGAUCCAGCAAUGCCGCGUGAGUGAUGAAGGCCUUAGGGUUGUAAAGCUCUUUUACCCGGGAUGAUAAUGACAGUACCGGGAGAAUAAGCUCCGGCUAACUCCGUG
rnacentral:rRNA from 1 species